rnacentral:rRNA from 1 species
AGAGUUUGAUCCUGGCUCAGGACGAACGCUGGCGGCGUGCCUAAUACAUGCAAGUAGAACGCUGAAGAGAGGAGCUUGCUCUUCUUGGAUGAGUUGCGAACGGGUGAGUAACGCGUAGGUAACCUGCCUGGUAGCGGGGGAUAACUAUUGGAAACGAUAGCUAAUACCGCAUGAAAUUGCUUAUCGCAUGAUAAUUAAUUGAAAGAUGCAAUUGCAUCACUACCAGAUGGACCUGCGUUGUAUUAGCUAGUUGGUGAGGUAACGGCUCACCAAGGCGACGAUACAUAGCCGACCUGAGAGGGUGAUCGGCCACACUGGGACUGAGACACGGCCCAGACUCCUACGGGAGGCAGCAGUAGGGAAUCUUCGGCAAUGGGGGGAACCCUGACCGAGCAACGCCGCGUGAGUGAAGAAGGUUUUCGGAUCGUAAAGCUCUGUUGUAAGAGAAGAACGGGUGUGAGAGUGGAAAGUUCACACUGUGACGGUAUCUUACCAGAAAGGGACGGCUAACUACGUGCCAGCAGCCGCGGUAAUACGUAGGUCCCGAGCGUUGUCCGGAUUUAUUGGGCGUAAAGCGAGCGCAGGCGGUUAGAUAAGUCUGAAGUUAAAGGCUGUGGCUUAACCAUAGUAUGCUUUGGAAACUGUUUAACUUGAGUGCAGAAGGGGAGAGUGGAAUUCCAUGUGUAGCGGUGAAAUGCGUAGAUAUAUGGAGGAACACCGGUGGCGAAAGCGGCUCUCUGGUCUGUAACUGACGCUGAGGCUCGAAAGCGUGGGGAGCAAACAGGAUUAGAUACCCUGGUAGUCCACGCCGUAAACGAUGAGUGCUA